GGAGGCAGCAGUGGGGAAGUAUUGCACAAUGGAGGAAACUCUGAUGCAGCAACGCCGCGUGGAGGAUGACGCAUUUCGGUGUGUAAACUCCUUUUAUAUCCCAAGAUAAUGACGGUAGGAUAUGAAUAAGCACCGGCUAACUCCGUGCCAGCAGCCGCGGUAAUACGGAGGGUGCAAGCGUUACUCGGAAUCACUGGGCGUAAAGGAUGCGUAGGCGGAUAAUCAAGUCAAAAGUGAAAUCCUACAGCUUAACUGUAGAACUGCUUUCGAAACUGGUUAUCUAGAAUAUGGAAGAGGCAGAUGGAAUUAGUGGUGUAGGGGUAAAAUCCGUAGAGAUCACUAGGAAUACCGAUUGCGAAGGCGAUCUGCUGGGACAUUAUGACGCUGAGAUGCGAAAGCGUGGGGAGCAAACAGGAUUAGAUACCCUGGUAGUCCACGCCCUAAACGAUGCACACUAGUUGUUGCUAUGCUCGACAUAGCAGUAAUGCAGUUAACACAGUAAGUGUGCCGCCUGGGGAGUACGGUCGCAAGAUUAAAACUCAAAGGAAUAGACGGGGACCCGCACAAGCGGUGGAGCAUGUGGUUUAAUUCGACGAUACGCGAAGAACCUUACCUGGCCUUGACAUAGAGAGAAUCUUUUAGAGAUAGAAGAGUGCUAGUUUACUAGAACUUUCAUACAGGUGCUGCACGGCUGUCGUCAGCUCGUGUCGUGAGAUGUUGGGUUAAGUCCCGCAACGAGCGCAACCCUCGUGUUUAGUUACUAACAGUUCGGCUGAGGACUCUAAACAGACUGCCUGGGUAACCAGGAGGAAGGUGAGGACGACGUCAAGUCAUCAUGGCCCUUACGGCCAGGGCUACACACGUGCUACAAUGGGGUAUACAAAGAGCCGCAAUACCGUGAGGUGGAGCAAAUCUCAUAAAAUAUCUCCCAGUUCGGAUUGAAGUCUGCAACUCGACUUCAUGAAGUUGGAAUCGCUAGUAAUCGUAGAUCAGCAAUGCUACGGUGAAUACGUUCCCGGGUCUUGUACUCACCGCCCGUCACACCAUGGGAAUUGAAUUCAUUCGAAGCGGGGAUGCUAAAUGCUACCUUCCACAGUGGAUUUAGUAACUAGGGUGAAGUCGUAACAAGGUAACCGUAGGAGAACCUGCGGUUG
rnacentral:rRNA from 1 species